rnacentral:rRNA from 1 species
AAGUCGUAACAAGGUUUCCGUAGGUGAACCUGCGGAAGGAUCAUUACAGUAUUCUUUUUGCCAGCGCUUAAUUGCGCGGCGAAAAAACCUUACACACAGUGUUUUUUGUUAUUACAAGAACUUUUGCUUUGGUCUGGACUAGAAAUAGUUUGGGCCAGAGGUUUACUAAACUAAACUUCAAUAUUUAUAUUGAAUUGUUAUUUAUUUUAAUUGUCAAUUUGUUGAUUAAAUUCAAAAAAUCUUCAAAACUUUCAACAACGGAUCUCUUGGUUCUCGCAUCGAUGAAGGACGCAGCGAAAUGCGAUAAGUAAUAUGAAUUGCAGAUUUUCGUGAAUCAUCGAAUCUUUGAACGCACAUUGCGCCCUCUGGUAUUCCAGAGGGCAUGCCUGUUUGAGCGUCAUUUCUCUCUCAAACCUUCGGGUUUGGUAUUGAGUGAUACUCUUAGUCGAACUAGGCGUUUGCUUGAAAUGUAUUGGCAUGAGUGGUGCUGGAUAGUGCUAUAUGACUUUCAAUGUAUUAGGUUUAUCCAACUCGUUGAAUAGUUUAAUGGUAUAUUUCUCGGUAUUCUAGGCUCGGCCUUACAAUAUAACAAACAAGUUUGACCUCAAAUCAGGUAGGACUACCCGCUGAACUUAA